AUUGAACGCUGGCGGCAGGCUUAACACAUGCAAGUCGAACGAGUGGCGGACGGGUGAGUAAUGCUUGGGAAACUGGCUUAUGGAGGGGGAUAACGACUGGAAACUGUCGCUAAUACCGCAUACCAUCGGAUGUGCCCAAGUGGGAUUAGGUAGUUGGUGGGGUAACGGCCAACCAAGCCGACGAUCUCUAGCUGGUCUGAGAGGAUGACCGGCCACACCGGAACUGAGACACGGUCCGGACUCCUACGGGAGGCAGCAGUGGGGAAUAUUGCGCAAUGGGGGCAAGCCUGACGCAGCCAUGCCGCGUGAAUGAAGAAGGCCUUCGGGUUGUAAAGUACUUUCAGUGAGGAGGCGUUAAUCGCAGAAGAAGCACCGGCUAACUCCGUGCCAGCAGCCGCGGUAAUAC
rnacentral:rRNA from 1 species